ACAGGAGGGGGAAAAGACGGAAUCAAACGUCGUUGGGAUAUUUUUGGCAGGAAUGCCAUUUCAUGCAGUUUGUCUUAUUUUCCAUCAGGGCAGGAUGUCUGGAGUCUGUCAUUUGGGGAGGGGGGGGGGGAUGUCAGUGGAAUUUGACCACUUCUCAUUCAAAGAGGGCUGGAAGAACCUGCACCCCAAGCAGAAGCUCGCAAAGGACGAUGGGAAAGCAUUUUGAACAAUCCCGUUGUCACAAGUUCAUACUUCAAACUACUAUCUGGAGAAGACUCACACAGAUAUGUUAACAGGACCAAGAAAGCAGAUGUUGCAUCAGGGAGAGUAUUUUGUCCCUCCUCUAUGUUUGAGUACAUUAUCUUCUCUUGCUAGAAUGCAAAUCAGCCAUUCGCAAAAAACUCAAAACCCAGAAGUGUUUUUUUCCCCCUUCUUUGUUAAUCGACUAGCUUUAAAAUCCUGACAUGGCGGUUUGAAAACCUGAUAAAUUGAUGGGGCUGUAAAGCACUGCAGGCAAACACUUGACAGAACAUGCACACCGAGGUGAAUCCUAAUCUUUUAUUGUAGAAUAGGUCACCACAAAAACCACAAAAAUGUUUUAAUAUGCGUGCAGGAUACUUUCCACCCUCUGCAGAUCAGAAAUAAACGUGGGGUCCUCUUACAACGGCCACGCAAGGGCCAAUCAUGGAAAAAAAAAAAAGCACAAAAGAUAUUCCUUAGUCAUCUGUUUUUGCUGGACAUAUUGUGUCACCGUGGGGUUUGGAACAGCAGAUUGCACUUCAACACCAGAACAAUCACAUGUAAGUGGUAACAUCUCAUCAUUAUAAGAUGUUGUAUAAAGUGUGGCAUCUGAUGAAAUUAGAUGCAUAGCUGUGUAAAACUUGCCUUUUUAUAGUAGAAAUCUAGAACUGCAUACGUUUUAAUAUCCUUCAGCAUCUACAUUUUGGAAUAUUGAAAUAUUUAUGUCACCGUUUCUUGCAACUUCACAGUUCUUCCAAAUAUUUUAGCAAAAAAUCCUGUGCAAUCCUCUAUGCCACUGUACAGUUUUAGCUGACCCAUCCAGAUCUAUCAGUGCAGUAUGAGGAAUGUUCACUUGGCUUAACGUGCCUCAUCCUGUUUCUGAGAACAGCCAGAGGCAUGUGCUGGGUGUUAAGUGUGGCAGCCCUUGACCUUCUGUGUACAGCUGAGCUUCACCUGUGCUGUUGAGCCAACUACCUGCUGAAAAUGAGCAGGAGAACACCCACAGGAUGGUUCAUCUCUCCUGAUUGGUCAACAGGAAAUGGGGAAUAACUCGUGACAGGAAGGCUCACCGUGAACAUAAACCCGCUGUCACCAUGCAUCUGUACUUCUUGGAAACUUCGGGGAGUCGGCUGCCGGGGCCGUGAAGCUGAGCCUGAGACCCCUGAAUCGCCACAGCUGGUGCUGUGAACCCACAACGCAAAUAUCCUCCCCGAAUGAACAUGUGGUGACAAGAAGCAGGGCAGCCCUGGGGUUGUCGAGGAGCGGAGCCAGUGAUCCUCAGGAACAAAAGUGCAACAGCUUUAGUGACCGACUUUGGGGGUGCGGGACUGGCGAGGAGGAGGAAGAGGAGGAGGAAGAGGCAGGGUAGGAUCACGGGUGUGGCUGCGCACCAGGCCAUUACACACGCUACACAAAAACGGAACAAAUCGUGAAGAAAAGUCACGUCAAGAGAGCUCGGCCAAAGGUGUCUGCCAGGCAAACAAAUGAGGCCUAGCUGAUGGAGAGAGUUACCCUUUAGCUGCUUGCGGGGAAAAGGAUAUCAGACAGUUUCACGGACAACAGCAGCAGCACCUUUUGUUACGUUAUAAAAGCUGGCAGGAUCUCUCCUUGUGUCAACUGGACUUCCCCCUCACUGUGGUCAUUUUCAAGAAUACAUUUUCCAGCUACUUUAUUGUGCUGGCAUCUGCUGCUGGAACGCAUCCAGAGACGUGAAAUGAAAAAUCUUUGGCUGGCUGCGUCAUAAACUUUUGUUGAACCACACUGAACAUGUCCCCCGGCAGUCGAAGGGACAGUCUGUCUUCUUCAUGGCUGACUGGCGUCAAAGCCGGCUCAGCUGUGCAGCUCUCCAAAACGCACUCUGCCCCACGCCUGGCACCUUGCCGGGGAUUUCGUCCAGACGCCUGCCUGCGUCACGUUCCCCGUGGCUGGAUUAAGGUCCCACACCACCUGCAUCUUCAGCGUGUUCUUUCCUAAGCUGUUUUCCUGGAUUUUAUUUUUUUUUGGUAGCAUUCCUGUAAUUAGUGUAAUGAACUUGUGUUGAGAAUCUCGAGUUUCGGAUAAGUAAUGAGCAAAACAAAGCAUGCCUGAGAUGGGGGGGGGGACGUGCAGGGACUCGCCCAGUCAUUUGCAUCCAAGCCGAACGAGUGAAGCAGCCAGAUGCAAUUAAUGCGGGUGUGUGACGCCCUCGUAAACGGCCCUGGGGGGUUCUGGGAGACAUCCCGUGCUUCCCAAAGCAUUGCGACUCACAAGCCUCUGCAGGUAUCGCCUGGAUGCCUGGUACCUGUUGCUCUGUUAUUGUUUGGACACCGGCAUGCACGCUGAUUACGUGUACAUUCCAAUAACUGUCAGUCACAGAAUAAGAACAGUCCCAGAGUGGAAUGCUGUUGCCAGGUGAAAAAAUCUUUGGUAACACAAUGUUCUGCCCAGAAAGAUCCGCGGAGACAGAUUCAGGCAACCAAGUUUAAUGGGGAUUACGAGAGGGGAGGUCGCGAGCCGUAUCCAAGUCGUUGCCAGGGAACAGAAGCCAGAGUCCAGAACGUGAUCCGAUGUCGUCGUUGAGUAAGGGGAAGCCGAGGGUCGAGGAGCCAGUAGAUCAAGCCGGUGACACGGGGGACGAACACGGGGAAAUCCACGAGGGGCGUCACAGGGAGGGUGGACGGGCAGGAGGGCAGGCAGGAGUCGAGGAAGGAGCGGGCAGGGCCAGGGAACACAGAACGUAACUAGGGAGACAACGAAUAAUCAAAGCGCUCAGUACGUACAUUACUACAAUACCUCGCACCAGACUAAUGUAAAUAUAUGACUAGAGCUUCAUAAACCAUUCAUAAUGCAUAAUAAACAUGGCUGUAAAGUGUUA